CCCCUCUCAAGGUCACACCUGGAGAGUUUCCAGUACUCUACCAGUCUUGACUAUGGGAGGGAGAUUCAAGCAGAGGCAUUCCAUUCCUUGCCUGGGCAGUGGCUAGCGAGUGGAAACCAAUCUGCUACAAGA